rnacentral:rRNA from 1 species
AGCGAACGCUGGCGGCAGGCUUAACACAUGCAGGUCGAGCGGGCGUAGCAAUACGUCAGCGGCAGACGGGUGAGUAACACGUGGGAACGUACCUUUUGGUUCGGAACAACUGAGGGAAACUUCAGCUAAUACCGGAUAAGCCCUAACGGGGAAAGAUUUAUCGCCGAAAGAUCGGCCCGCGUCUGAUUAGCUAGUUGGUGAGUUAAUGGCCCACCAAGGCGACGAUCAGUAGCUGGUCUGAGAGGAUGAUCAGCCACACUGGGACUGAGACACGGCCCAGACUCCUACGGGAGGCAGCAGUGGGGAAUAUUGGACAAUGGGGGCAACCCUGAUCCAGCCAUGCCGCGUGAGUGAUGAAGGCCCUAGGGUUGUAAAGCUCUUUUGUGCGGGAAGAUAAUGACGGUACCGCAAGAAUAAGCCCCGGCUAACUUCGUGCCAGCAGCCGCCGUAA